rnacentral:rRNA from 1 species
GACGAACCGAGCGAACGUUGUUCGGAAUCACUGGGCUUAAAGGGCGCGUAGGCGGCUUGGCAAGUCAGGGGUGAAAUCUUUCGGCUCAACCGGAAAAGUGCUUCUGAUACUGGCGGGCUGGAGGAGGGUAGGGGCGGGCGGAACUUCCGGUGGAGCGGUGAAAUGCGUAGAUAUCGGAAGGAACGCCGGUGGCGAAAGCGGCCCGCUGGACCCUUUCUGACGCUGAUGCGCGAAAGCCAGGGGAGCAAACGGG